GGCUCAGGACGAACGCUGGCGGCGUGCCUAAUACAUGCAAGUCGAGCGGACAGAUGGGAGCUUGCUCCCUGAUGUUAGCGGCGGACGGGUGAGUAACACGUGGGUAACCUGCCUGUAAGACUGGGAUAACUCCGGGAAACCGGGGCUAAUACCGGAUGGUUGUUUGAACCGCAUGGUUCAGACAUAAAAGGUGGCUUCGGCUACCACUUACAGAUGGACCCGCGGCGCAUUAGCUAGUUGGUGAGGUAACGGCUCACCAAGGCGACGAUGCGUAGCCGACCUGAGAGGGUGAUCGGCCACACUGGGACUGAGACACGGCCCAGACUCCUACGGGAGGCAGCAGUAGGGAAUCUUCCGCAAUGGACGAAAGUCUGACGGAGCAACGCCGCGUGAGUGAUGAAGGUUUUCGGAUCGUAAAGCUCUGUUGUUAGGGAAGAACAAGUGCCGUUCAAAUAGGGCGGCACCUUGACGGUACCUAACCAGAAAGCCACGGCUAACUACGUGCCAGCAGCCGCGGUAAUACGUAGGUGGCAAGCGUUGUCCGGAAUUAUUGGGCGUAAAGGGCUCGCAGGCGGUUUCUUAAGUCUGAUGUGAAAGCCCCCGGCUCAACCGGGGAGGGUCAUUGGAAACUGGGGAACUUGAGUGCAGAAGAGGAGAGUGGAAUUCCACGUGUAGCGGUGAAAUGCGUAGAGAUGUGGAGGAACACCAGUGGCGAAGGCGACUCUCUGGUCUGUAACUGACGCUGAGGAGCGAAAGCGUGGGGAGCGAACAGGAUUAGAUACCCUGGUAGUCCACGCCGUAAACGAUGAGUGCUAAGUGUUAGGGGGUUUCCGCCCCUUAGUGCUGCAGCUAACGCAUUAAGCACUCCGCCUGGGGAGUACGGUCGCAAGACUGAAACUCAAAGGAAUUGACGGGGGCCCGCACAAGCGGUGGAGCAUGUGGUUUAAUUCGAAGCAACGCGAAGAACCUUACCAGGUCUUGACAUCCUCUGACAAUCCUAGAGAUAGGACGUCCCCUUCGGGGGCAGAGUGACAGGUGGUGCAUGGUUGUCGUCAGCUCGUGUCGUGAGAUGUUGGGUUAAGUCCCGCAACGAGCGCAACCCUUGAUCUUAGUUGCCAGCAUUCAGUUGGGCACUCUAAGGUGACUGCCGGUGACAAACCGGAGGAAGGUGGGGAUGACGUCAAAUCAUCAUGCCCCUUAUGACCUGGGCUACACACGUGCUACAAUGGACAGAACAAAGGGCAGCGAAACCGCGAGGUUAAGCCAAUCCCACAAAUCUGUUCUCAGUUCGGAUCGCAGUCUGCAACUCGACUGCGUGAAGCUGGAAUCGCUAGUAAUCGCGGAUCAGCAUGCC
rnacentral:rRNA from 1 species